rnacentral:lncRNA from 1 species
GCGGAGGAGGUGUUUGAGAAGACCCAGGACCCCACCUGGAGAGACCCUACCUGGGCUGGGAUGGAGGAGUGCCUCCCUGGCCUGCUGUCAGAGCUCACUGAGGCGGGAGCUGACCUGGAGCUGGGCAUCCUGACGGAGCGCCAGUUCACCCAGCUGGUGGAGCAGCACGGGGCGGCCCAGGACUGGCUCCGCGAGCAGGUCAAGGUCCUGGGACCCCCGCCCGCCGACCGACAGGGUCUGCACAGCACCGCCAACACGCUGAAGGUUAGCGCGCGCACGCACGCACGCACGCACGCACGCACGCACGCACGCACGCACGCACGCACGCACGCACGCACGCACGCACGCACGCACGCACACACACACACACACACACACACACACACACACACACACACACCUUCAGUCCUAACAUAAAUACAAACAUGCACACACACUUAAAUUCCAACACUUGCUAAACUUAAUGACCGCAUACCCACAUACACACACAUACACCCACAUACACACACACACACACACACACACACACACACACACACACACACACACACACACACACACACACACACACACACACACACACACACAUACACACACACGCACACACACAUACACAAACAUACACACACACACACACACACACACACACACAUACACAAACAGACACACAGCUUUGACAAGCCCACACCUGACCUCUGACCCCCCCCCCCCCCCCCUCCAGGCUCUCCUGCAGACGGUGGGCCGCGAGGAGCGGGAGAUGAAGGAGCUGGACCCCCUCCGCGACCGCCUCACGGCCCUGUGCACGCCGGGGGGCCGCGACUCCCUCAGCCUGGAGGUGCGCCACCUCCACGAGCUCCGCACCACCUCGGAGCAGGAGGUGCGGGAGCGGCUGGUGGUGUGCGAGGGCCGCCUGGGGGAGCUGGGGCAGGAGGCGGGCCGCCGGGGCCGGGCCCUGAAGGAGCGGGGCGCGGCGCUGCAGUGGGAGCUGCGGUCCCUGGACCAGGCGCUCUGCUACAGCGAGCCCCAGAACCACAUCGCCCAGCUGCAGCAGCACUGGACCAGCCUCCAGAAAUGUCAGGGGUCGCUUGAAGGCCUGGGGGUCAAAGUUCAGGAGCUGUACCAGGAAGUGAAAAGUGUCGCCGGGACAACAGAGGAGAUGCCGUCCGAGGCGAUCACCAUGGUUGAGUCGCUGAAACAGCAGAACGACGAGUAAGCAAGCAGUGCUCUCGACUGCUCAUAUGCCUCUCAUGUUGUUACGCUGAAGUUAUGUUCGAACACAGAACAAGGUAUAAGUGGUUUAACAGAACAUUGGCUUAGGAGAACAAGUUGUAACUUGAAUUUAGCUACUUAUCUGAUGAAAUACAUGCUAAUUGAAUC